AUGAAUUCGACGCAUGCGCUUUGACAAGGUAUCACGUGAUCUUUUAUAUAUGUGUUGGAUUUGCAACUACAUAAUUUUUAUGUCUAAAGUAAUCUUAGGAAGAAGAUAACAAUACCUGACGAUCACCUAGAACACUUUUACAUUACAACUUGUGUUAUACAAUACACAAAAAAUGGGAGUUUCCAACAGCUCUCAUAACUGGAUGGCUAGGAUAUCAUUUUACCCCGACAUUGACGAAAAGCCUGAUGUUGUUAUCUGUAAAACAAGCCGCAAUAUCCCGAAUGAGCCAACGCUAAUUGAAGAUUCGAGAGAGAGUAUUCUUCAAGUGUACUCGUACAAAGUUCCAAUUUUAAAUAUCACAGGCACGUGUCUACUCUUUUAUCACAGAUUUGUCAUUAUAGAAACCAAAAGCUGGUGGUGGUCCAUUGAGAAAAACAACGUGGAAAUCAUUAUACAAAGAAGUAAAAAUGAGGCUUCAGUAAAAAACAAAAUACUAGGAGAAAAGAGAAAUCCGCAAGAUAACAUACAACUUGAAGAGCAGGAUCGUCAAAUGUCAAUGUGAGGGCACUCUUGGAAUGGCUAGAUAUUGAAAACGAGACCUUUGACAGAUACCAUCUGUUUCAAAGCAAUUGUCAAGUGUUUGGUAAACGUGUUUACGAACACUUACAGGGUAAAAAGCAAUUAAAUUCAACACCAAUUUAAUAUUUUGCUUUUACGACAACAUUGAAUGUGUAAAGAAAGUAUCACGAUUUGGAUUACAUGAGAUACAAUUAACAAUUUGUUUGUAGUAUUCAACAUUUUGUUGCAACAUUUACUCAUUUAUUAUCGUAUGUUGAAGAAGAAACAUAUCAUAUGUACAUAUUUUUGUUUUAUAAUUGUCAUUUGAAUAUUUAUCAGCUUUAUUAUUGCCCUUAUUAGUGUUAUUAUUUUUACUAUAAAUAUAUUUUAAGUUAAUGCUUUCAAAACUGACGGAUUCAAAAUUGAUUUGUAACACCAAUUUUGCUAUCACGACAAUUUUAAUAGUAAAAAAGGAAACUAUGAUGACUUCGCUGAUAUGAAAGAUAUUCAACAGUUUGUUUGUAGUAUUGAACAAUUUACUGUAAAAAAUAAUCUUGUAUCAUUGUAUGUUAAAGAGAAAAUAUAAUCGACCAUUUCCAUUAGA